rnacentral:misc_RNA from 1 species
GAUGAAGAACGUAGCGAAAUGCGAUAAGUAAUGUGAAUUGCAGAAUUCAGUGAACCAUCGAAUCUUUGAACGCACAUUGCGCCCGGCAGUAAUCUGCCGGGCAUGCCUGCCCGAGCGUCAUUUCUGCCCUCGAGCGAGUCCAGCAUCUAGGUGCUGGGCCCGCCCGGCGUUGGGGCACUACGGGAAGCCCUGUGCUGUCCCCCGUAGGCCCCGAAAUGAAGUGGCGGUCCUGCCGCGGCGCCCCCUGCGUAGUAUAACAGCUCGCUUCGGGACCCGGUGGAGGCCUGCCGUCAAACCUUACUCUCUAAGUUUGACCUCGGAUCAGGUAGGGUUACCCGCUGAACUUAAGCAUAUCAAUAAGCGGAGGA